GUAUAAAAACGACUCUCGGCAACGGAUAUCUCGGCUCUCGCAUCGAUGAAGAACGUAGCGAAAUGCGAUACUUGGUGUGAAUUGCAGAAUCCCGUGAACCAUCGAGUCUUUGAACGCAAGUUGCGCCCGAAGCCAUCCGGCCGAGGGCACGCCUGCCUGGGCGUCACGC
rnacentral:rRNA from 1 species